rnacentral:tRNA from 1 species
GCCCUGAUGGCUCAGUUGGUUAGAGCGCAGGUCUCAUAAUCCUGAGGUCGCAAGUUCGAACCUUGCUCAGGGCA